UCCUCUCCGCCGAUGGAACCAGAUGAGUUUCUGCUCUCAGCCUCUCGUCUCUUUCUGUCAACCGAUGAACCAGAUCGAGUUUGGUGAAUCAAUUUUGAUUCAGUUUGUUCAUCAUCUAUAAUAUGAUUUUUAGGUCUUCAUAAAUCGUUUUAGGAUUUCAGUCUGUAUUAUGAUUCAUUGAUUUUAGUUUGUUCGUCGGAGUCCGAACUUGGAAGAACUGAUCUUCACUCUCAGCUAAUCGUGUGAAAGCAUCUGUUCUACUUAUUUUAAUUUAGAUGCAGAUGGGAAUUAAGUUGAUAAGUUGACUGAGAAGCUACAAGGGUUUGGAAUUGCGGAUGGUAGUGGUGAUGGUGUUGUUCUAACUACUUCUAAGGUCAGCGAUUUUGGUGAUUGGAAGCAUAAUAUAUGGUAUGGGAAUUGGACUGGAAAUGCACCAAUGUACAUUGCUGAGGCUGCACCAAGUCAGGUUAUAUAGUUGGCGGUCUGGAAAUUGAUAUAGUUGAAGGAUGGCGUUACUUGUAUGCUACUAGUAUUCUUAUAUCUUUUCUUAUGGGAGUCGGAGUGUGGUGGUUGCCCCCAUCACCACGAUGGUUAUUAUGCGCCAUAGAAGGAAAGGGAAAUACAAAAGGGGCAAGAGAAACUGCAAUAUGUUGUUCGUGCCGGAUGAUGGGUUGAGCCAUUGGUGUCUCAGCUCCAGAACAUGUAUAUGAAAUGCUUGAAAGCACUUACUAUUGGUGUUGGAAUGGUUUUGUUCCAGCAGAUCACAGGGAAACCAAGUGUGUUAUAUUAUGCUGCAACAAUUCUCAAGGGGCAAGACCAAAAGAAACUGGAUGUUCCUUCAAAUGAUGUAUUUUUUAAGGCUCUCGUGAGCAGUGGAAUAACAUUUGUGUCAAGCACGGAACUGGUGUCAAUGGUUUCACACUUUCACUCUUGGUCCGUCAAUUGGGGAGUUCAUUAUGACUCAUACUGACAUUGAGAUGCUUUUGGAAAUUAAACCACUUGUACUAGUUUUUACUACAUUGGCUUAAUGGCAUCUUAUAAUGCAGGAAGCAGUUGGAGUGGAUACUGUUGUUUUGGAGCUUAAAGAAAUAGGAAGACAAUCAGAAAUGUUGUUCUCACUCCUGAACCCAUGAUAUCCGUUUAUACUUGCGAGGCGUUUGGCAUCAACAUGUGUACCUUCUAGAUUACAUGAACCAAUUGCACUGAUUGCCUAGAAGAGUCUAUAUGAAAGACAAAGAGAGUGCCAAGUCAUGAAGUUUCAUCUUACCUAGUUGCAGUUAACUAGAUUGCCUACAUCGAGUUUUAUGGUGCCCAAGCUUUCAAGAAAGCAAGCCUGCAAAGGAUAUAAAGCUUAGUUGCGGUUAUUUGAAUGAUGCUCUAUUUCAUCAGAAAGAGUGGAGAACAAAGGAGCUUCAAGAUUUGUAAGUUCCAUGUAUUCAAGUUUGUAUUUGUUCCCUUAGAAAUUUGGAACCUUCCAUGUAUUCCUUGAUAAAUUUGAUACUUCAAAAAAAAAGAAAAAGUUUGGUACUUCGAGAAAUUUCAGUUCUUUUGUUGUAUGAACCUGAGAUGAAUAAAAUGAAUGUGAUUAUGAAUUGA